rnacentral:lncRNA from 1 species
GAAGCCGUCAAGAGGCCAUUUAAAGAAGAUCAAUGAUCAAGAACUCAAGACUCGGCGAGCCCGGGCAAAAUUGGUCUUUUUAUAGUCUUUGCUCUGUUCACAUUACACGACAACAAGUAAAGAGGGGCAGCUGUACAGCCCAAAUUUUGCCCGGGCUAAAAAGCCCAACAUCUAAAAACCCAAUAGCCCAAAACCCAACAACCUUCAAAGUCCAAUCACCUAAACCCUAAUGGCCCA